GGGCGCAGGAUAUUUGAGAGGAGCUGACCUUAGUACGAGAGGACCGGGUUGGACUGACCUCUGGUGUACCGGUUGUUCUACCAAGAGCAUGGCCGGGUAGCCAAGUCGGGAAGGGAUAAACGCUGAAGGCAUCUAAGCGUGAAGCCCCCCUCAAGAUGAGAUAUCCCCCGCAUAAGCGGUAAGACCCCUUGAAGACGACGAGGUAGAUAGGUUAGAGGUGGAAGUGCAGUAAUGUAUGGAGCUGACUAAUACUAAUAGGUCGAAGGCUUAUCCAU
rfam:Robinsoniella sp. RHS robin_c117, whole genome shotgun sequence.